rnacentral:rRNA from 1 species
UACGUAGGGUGCAAGCGUUUGUCCGGAAUUAUUGGGCGUAAAGAGCUCGUAGGCGGUUUUGUUGCGUCGGCUGUGAAAUCCCGAGGCUCAACCUCGGGUCUGCAGUCGAUACGAGCAAACUAGAGUGUUGCAGGGGAGACUGGAAUUCCUGGUGUAGCGGUGGAAUGCGCAGAUAUCAGGAGGAACACCGAUGGCGAAGGCAGAUCUCUGGGCCGUAACUGACGCUGAGGAGCGAAAGCGUGGGGAGCGAACAGG